rnacentral:rRNA from 1 species
UACAGAGGGUGCAAGCGUUAAUCGGAAUUACUGGGCGUAAAGCGUGCGUAGACGGUUACAUAAGUCGGGUGUGAAAGCCCCGGGCUCAACCUGGGAAUUGCAUUCGAGACUGCGUAGCUAGGAUGCGGAAGAGGGAAGCGGAAUUUCCGGUGUAGCGGUGAAAUGCGUAGAUAUCGGAAGGAACACCAGUGGCGAAAGCGGCUUCCUGGUCCAGCAUCGACGUUCAGGCACGAAAGCGUGGGGAGCAAACAGG